rnacentral:rRNA from 1 species
CGGCAAGGCUAAAUACUCCCGUGAGACCGAUAGUGUACGAGUACCGUGAGGGAAAGGUGAAAAGCACCCCGCGAGGGGAGUGAAACAGUUCCUGAAACCAUGCGCCUACAAGCGGUCGGAGCCGCGCAAGCGGUGACGGCGUGCCUUUUGCAUAAUGAACCUACGAGUUACCAUGUCCGGCAAGGUUUAGCGGUUCAGCCGCGCAGCCUCAGUGAAAGCGAGCCUGAA